rnacentral:rRNA from 1 species
GGGGUGAGUAACACGUGGGUAAUCUACCCUUGAAUUUGGGAUAACUUCGCGAAAGCGAUGCUAAUACCGAAUAUUAUAGUUUUAACUCCAGUUUUAAUUAUGAAAGGUGACCUCUUCUUGAAAGUUGCCGUUUAAGGAUGAGCCCGCGUACCAUUAGCUAGUUGGUAGGGUAAUGGCCUACCAAGGCUACGAUGGUUAGCUGGUCUGAGAGGAUGACCAGCCACACUGGAACUGAAACACGGUCCAGACUCCUACGGGAGGCAGCAGUGAGGAAUUUUGCGCAAUGGGGGAAACCCUGACGCAGCAACGCCGCGUGAGUGAAGAAGGCUUUCGGGUCGUAAAGCUCUGUCAGAUGGGAAAAAAGUUCAUGAUUAAUAGUCUAUGAAUCUGAUGGUACCAUCAGAGGAAGCACCGGCUAACUCCGUGCCAGCAGCCGCGGUAAUACGGAGGGUGCAAGCGUUGUUCGGAAUUACUGGGCGUAAAGAGCGUGUAGGCGGUAUGAUAAGUCAGAUGUGAAAGCCCUGGGCUUAACCUAGGAAGUGCAUUUGAUACUGUCAUUCUUGAGUAUGGGAGAGGAGAGUGGAAUUCCCAGUGUAGAAGUGAAAUUCGUAGAUAUUGGGAGGAACACCCGUGGCGAAGGCGACUCUCUGGACCAAUACUGACGCUGAGACGCGAAAGCGUGGGGAGCAAACAGGAUUAGAUACCCUGGUAGUCCACGCUGUAAACUAUGAGAACUAGGUGUAGCGGGUAUUGACCCCUGCUGUGCCGAAGCUAACGCAUUAAGUUCUCCGCCUAGGGAGUACGGCCGCAAGGCUAAAACUCAAAGGAAUUGACGGGGACCCGCACAAGCGGUGGAGCAUGUGGUUUAAUUCGACGCAACGCGAAGAACCUUACCUGGAUUUGACAUCCUCUGACAUCCAUAGAAAUAUGGCUUUUUAUGCUUGCAUAAACAGAGUGACAGGUGCUGCAUGGCUGUCGUCAGCUCGUGUCGUGAGAUGUUGGGUUAAGUCCCGCAACGAGCGCAACCCUUGUUUUUAGUUGCCAUUAUUAAGUUAGGCACUCUAGAAAUACUGCCUCGGUUAACGGGGAGGAAGGUGGGGAUGACGUCAAGUCCUCAUGGCCUUUAUAUCCAGGGCUACACACGUGCUACAAUGGGCUGUACAAAGAGUUGCCACUUCGCGAGAAGGAGCUAAUCUCAAAAAGCAGUUCUCAGUUCGGAUUGAAGUCUGCAACCCGACUUCAUGAAGUUGGAAUCGCUAGUAAUCGCGGAUCAGCAUGCCGCGGUGAAUACGUUCCCGGGUCUUGUACACACCGCCCGUCACACCACGAAAGUCGGUUGUACCAGAAGUUGCUGGGCUAACCCGCAAGGGAUGCAGGUACCUAAGGUACGAUCGGUAAUUGGGGUGAAGUCGAAACAAGGUA